AAUGAACGCUGGCGGCAGGCCUAACACAUGCAAGUCGAACGCUCCGCAAGGGGAGUGGCACACGGGUGAGUAACACGUGGGAACCUACCUUCUGGUACGGAACAACCAAGGGAAACUUUGGCUAAGACCGUAUACGACCUCCGGGUGAAAGAUUGAUCGCCGGAAGAGGGGCCCGCGUCCGAUUAGGUAGUUGGUGAGGUAACGGCUCACCAAGCCUUCGAUCGGUAGCUGGUCUGAGAGGAUGACCAGCCACACUGGGACUGAGACACGGCCCAGACUCCUACGGGAGGCAGCAGUGGGGAAUAUUGGACAAUGGGCGCAAGCCUGAUCCAGCCAUGCCGCGUGAGUGAUGAAGGCCUUCGGUUG
rnacentral:rRNA from 1 species